AGACCCGAAACCCGGUGAUCUAGCCAUGGGCAGGUUGAAGGUUGGGUAACACUAACUGGAGGACCGAACCGACUAAUGUUGAAAAAUUAGCGGAUGACCUGUGGCUGGGGGUGAAAGGCCAAUCAAACCGGGAGAUAGCUGGUUCUCCCCGAAAGCUAUUUAGGUAGCGCCUCGUGAAUUCAUCUCCGGGGGUAGAGCACUGUUUCGGCUAGGGGGCCAUCCCGGCUUACCAACCCGAUGCAAACUGCGAAUACCGGAGAAUGUUAUCACGGGAGACACACGGCGGGUGCUAACGUCCGUCGUGAAGAGGGAAACAACCCAGACCGCCAGCUAAGGUCCCAAAGUCAUGGUUAAGUGGGAAACGAUGUGGGAAGGCCCAGACAGCCAGGAUGUUGGCUUAGAAGCAGCCAUCAUUUAAAGAAAGCGUAAUAGCUCACUGGUCGAGUCGGCCUGCGCGGAAGAUGUAACGGGGCUAAACCAUGCACCGAAGCUGCGGCAGCGACACUCAGGUGUUGUUGGGUAGGGGAGCGUUCUGUAAGUCUGCGAAGGUGGCCUGUGAGGGUUGCUGGAGGUAUCAGAAGUGCGAAUGCUGACAUAAGUAACGAUAAAGCGGGUGAAAAGCCCGCUCGCCGGAAGACCAAGGGUUCCUGUCCAACGUUAAUCGGGGCAGGGUGAGUCGACCCCUAAG
rnacentral:rRNA from 1 species